AAAACGACUCUCGGCAACGGAUAUCUCGGCUCUCGCAUCGAUGAAGAACGUAGCGAAAUGCGAUACUUGGUGUGAAUUGCAGAAUCCCGUGAACCAUCGAGUCUUUGAACGCAAGUUGCGCCCGAAGCCAUUAGGUCGAGGGCACGCCUGCCUGGGCGUCGCAC
rnacentral:rRNA from 1 species